GAACGUGCAUCGUGAUAGGGACAGAUUAUUGCAAUUAUUAAUCUUGAACGAGGAAUUCCUAGUAAACGCAGUUCAUCAAACUGCAUUGAUUACGUCCCUGCCCUUUGUACACACCGCCCGUCGCACCUACCGAUUGAAUGGUCCGGUGAAGCYUCGGGAUUGUGACCAGUGCCUUUACUGGUGUUGGUUGCGAGAACUUGUCUAAACCUUAUCAUUUAGAGGAAGGUGAAGUCGUAACAAGGUUUCCGUAGGUGAACCUGCGGAAGGAUCA
rnacentral:rRNA from 1 species